AUGUCGGCCUACUGCGGAAAGUACAAGGAUGAGCUCAUCAAGAACGCUGCCUACAUUGGCACCCCUGGCAAGGGUAUCCUUGCUGCCGACGAGUCCACCGGCACCAUCGGCAAGCGCUUCGCCAGCAUCAACGUUGAGAAUGUUGAGGACAACCGUCGCGCCCUCCGUGAGCUCCUCUUCUGCACCCCUGGAGCCCUCCAGUACCUCAGCGGCGUGAUCCUCUUCGAGGAGACCCUGUACCAGAGCACCAAGGGUGGCAAGCCCUUCGUCGACAUCCUCAAGGAGGGCAACGUCCUCCCUGGCAUCAAGGUGGACAAGGGUACCGUCGAGCUCGCUGGAACCAACGGUGAGACCACUACCCAGGGCUUUGAUGACCUUGGCAAGCGCUGUGCCAAGUACUAUGAGGCUGGUGCCCGCUUUGCCAAGUGGCGUGCUGUCCUCAAGAUUGGCCUCACCGAGCCAUCACAGCUUUCCAUCGACCAGAAUGCUCAGGGUCUGGCUCGUUAUGCCAUCAUCUGCCAGGAGAAUGGGCUGGUGCCCAUUGUUGAGCCUGAGAUCCUUGUUGAUGGACCUCAUGACAUUGACCGCUGUGCUUAUGUGACCGAGAUGGUCCUUGCUGCCUGCUACAAGGCUCUCAACGACCAGCAUGUCCUCCUUGAGGGUACCCUCCUGAAGCCCAACAUGGUUACCCCUGGUUCCGACGCCAAGAAGGUAGCCCCUGAGGUGAUUGCUGAGUACACCGUCCGCACCCUCCAGAGGACCGUCCCUGCUGCCGUCCCUGCCAUUGUCUUCCUCUCCGGUGGACAGAGUGAGGAGGAGGCGACCCUGAACCUGAACGCCAUGAACAAGCUCCAGACCAAGAAGCCCUGGAACCUGUCCUUCUCCUUCGGGCGUGCUCUCCAGCAGAGCACCCUCAAGGCCUGGGCUGGCAAGGCGGAGAACGAGGAGAAGGCCAGGAAGGCGUUCCUGGUGAGGUGCAAGGCCAACUCCGAGGCCACCCUCGGCACCUACAAGGGCGAUGCCACCCUUGGCGAGGGCGCCUCCGAGAGCCUCCACGUCAAGGACUACAAGUACUGA
rnacentral:rRNA from 1 species